GUAGGGAAUUUUCGGCAAUGGGCGAAAGCCUGACCGAGCAACGCCGCGUGAGUGAUGAAGGUCUUCGGAUCGUAAAGCUCUGUUGUAAGGGAAGAACGUCUCUGUUAGAAACAGGGAGUGACGGUACCUUACCAGAAAGCCACGGCUAACUACGUGCCAGCAGCCGCGGUAAUACGUAGGUGGCAAGCGUUAUCCGGAAUUAUUGGGCGUAAAGGGUGCGUAGGCGGCUUGUUAAGUUUAUGGUGAAAGCGUGGGGCUUAACCCCAUUUAGCCAUAGAUACUGGCAGGCUAGAGUGUAGAAGAGGGCAGUGGAAUUCCAUGUGUAGCGGUAAAAUGCGUAGAUAUAUGGAGGAACACCAGUGGCGAAGGCGGCUGCCUAGUCUACAACUGACGCUGAGGCACGAAAGCGUGGGGAGCAAAUAGGAUUAGAUACCCGGGUAGUCC
rnacentral:rRNA from 1 species